rnacentral:pre_miRNA from 1 species
AGGAGGAACAACCACAGUGGCGGCGGUCAGCUCUGGAGCCCUGGAGUCAGCCCCCAUAGUAACUACAGAGCUGUCAGUCUGCGGGAGCCUGGAUGCUCUGGGGGCGG